UAAGCCCACGCCGGUCGAAGAUACCAGGCCGCUGCGACUGUUUAUUAAAAACACAGCACUCUGCAAACACGAAAGUGGACGUAUAGGGUGUGACGCCUGCCCGGUGCCGGAAGGUUAAUUGAUGGGGUUAGCUAACGCGAAGCUCUUGAUCGAAGCCCCGGUAAACGGCGGCCGUAACUAUAACGGUCCUAAGGUAGCGAAAUUCCUUGUCGGGUAAGUUCCGACCUGCACGAAUGGCGUAACGAUGGCGGCGCUGUCUCCACCCGAGACUCAGUGAAAUUGAAAUCGCUGUGAAGAUGCAGUGUAUCCGCGGCUAGACGGAAAGACCCCGUGAACCUUUACUAUAGCUUUGCACUGGACUUUGAAUUUGCUUGUGUAGGAUAGGUGGGAGGCUUUGAAGCGUGGACGCCAGUUCGCGUGGAGCCAUCCUUGAAAUACCACCCUGGCAACUUUGAGGUUCUAACUCAGGUCCGUUAUCCGGAUCGAGGACAGUGUAUGGUGGGUAGUUUGACUGGGGCGGUCUCCUCCUAAAGAGUAACGGAGGAGUACGAAGGUGCGCUCAGACCGGUCGGAAAUCGGUCGUAGAGUAUAAAGGCAAAAGCGCGCUUGACUGCGAGACAGACACGUCGAGCAGGUACGAAAGUAGGUCUUAGUGAUCCGGUGGUUCUGUAUGGAAGGGCCAUCGCUCAACGGAUAAAAGGUACUCCGGGGAUAACAGGCUGAUACCGCCCAAGAGUUCAUAUCGACGGCGGUGUUUGGCACCUCGAUGUCGGCUCAUCACAUCCUGGGGCUGAAGCCGGUCCCAAGGGUAUGGCUGUUCGCCAUUUAAAGUGGUACGCGAGCUGGGUUUAGAACGUCGUGAGACAGUUCGGUCCCUAUCUGCCGUGGACGUUUGAGAUUUGAGAGGGGCUGCUCCUAGUACGAGAGGACCGGAGUGGACGAACCUCUGGUGUUCCGGUUGUCACGCCAGUGGCAUUGCCGGGUAGCUAUGUUCGGAAAAGAUAACCGCUGAAAGCAUCUAAGCGGGAAACUUGCCUCAAGAUGAGAUCUCACUGGGACCUUGAGUCCCCUGAAGGGCCGUCGAAGACUACGACGUUGAUAGGCAGGGUGUGUAAGCGCUGUGAGGCGUUGAGCUAACCUGUACUAAUUGCCCGUGAGGCUUGACCAUAUAACACCCAAGCAAUU
rnacentral:rRNA from 1 species